UCUCGGGGGGGUCCCCCGAGGGAAUCUUCCGCAAUGGACGAAAGUCUGACGGAGCAACGCCGCGUGAGUGAUGAAGGCUUUCGGGUCGUAAAACUCUGUUGUUAGGGAAGAACAAGUGCUAGUUGAAUAAGCUGGCACCUUGACGGUACCUAACCAGAAAGCCACGGCUAACUACGUGCCAGCAGCCGCGGUAAUACGUAGGUGGCAAGCGUUAUCCGGAAUUAUUGGGCGUAAAGCGCGCGCAGGUGGUUUCUUAAGUCUGAUGUGAAAGCCCACGGCUCAACCGUGGAGGGUCAUUGGAAACUGGGAGACUUGAGUGCAGAAGAGGAAAGUGGAAUUCCAUGUGUAGCGGUGAAAUGCGUAGAGAUAUGGAGGAACACCAGUGGCGAAGGCGACUUUCUGGUCUGUAACUGACACUGAGGCGCGAAAGCGUGGGGAGCAAACAGGAUUAGAUACCCUGGUAGUCCACGCCGUAAACGAUGAGUGCUAAGUGUUAGAGGGUUUCCGCCUCGAUGCUGAUAAGGGCA
rnacentral:rRNA from 1 species